rnacentral:rRNA from 1 species
UGAGGAAUAUUGGGUCAAUGGGCGAGAGCCUGAACCAGCCAAGUAGCGUGCAGGAUGACGGCCCUAUGGGUUGUAAACUGCUUUUAUGCGGGGAUAAAGUGAGGGAUGCGUCCCUUUUUGCAGGUACCGCAUGAAUAAGGACCGGCUAAUUCCGUGCCAGCAGCCGCGGUAAUACGGAAGGUCCGGGCGUUAUCCGGAUUUAUUGGGUUUAAAGGGAGCGUAGGCCGGAGAUUAGGCGUGUUGUGAAAUGUAGUGGCUCAACCUCUGCACUGCAGCGCGAACUGGUCUUCUUGAGUACGCACAACGUGGGCGGAAUUCGUGGUGUAGCGGUGAAAUGCUUAGAUAUCACGAGAACUCGAUUGCGAAGGCAGCUCACGGGAGCGCAACUGACGCUGAAGCUCGAAAGUGCGGGUAUCGAACAGGAUUAGAUACCCUGGUAGU